GACGGAGGGGGCUAGCGUUGUUCGGAAUGACUGGGCGUAAAGGGCGCGUAGGCGGCUUAUCAAGUCAGGUGUGAAAGCCUUGGGCUCAACCCAAGAACUGCGCUUGAUACUGAUAAGCUUGAGGAUGAUAGAGGAAAGCGGAAUUCCUAGUGUAGAGGUGAAAUUCGUAGAUAUUAGGAAGAACACCAGAGGCGAAGGCGGCUUUCUGGAUCAUAUCUGACGCUGAGGCGCGAAAGCGUGGGGAGCAAACAGG
rnacentral:rRNA from 2 species